UACGUAGGGGGCGAGCGUUGUCCGGAAUCAUUGGGCGUAAAGAGCGUGUAGGUGGCCCGGUAAGUCCGCCGUGAAAGUCCAGGGCUCAACCCUGGAAAGCCGGUGGAUACUGUCGGGCUGGAGUCCGGAAGAGGCGAGUGGAAUUCCAGGUGUAGCGGUGAAAUGCGUAGAUAUCUGGAGGAACACCGGUGGCGAAGGCGGCGUUCUGGACUGUUACUGACACUGAGGAACGAAAGCCAGGGGAGCAAACGGG
rnacentral:rRNA from 1 species